UAAAAUAAAGGAUAAAGGAAAUUCAUA
rnacentral:piRNA from 1 species